UACGGAGGGUGCGAGCGUUAAUCGGAAUUACUGGGCGUAAAGCGCGCGUAGGCGGUUUGUUAAGUCAGCUGUGAAAGCCCCGGGCUCAACCUGGGAACUGCAGUUGAUACUGUCCGACUAGAGUACGAGAGAGGGAGGGUAGAAUUCCAUGUGUAGCGGUGAAAUGCGUAGAUAUAUGGAGGAAUACCAGUGGCGGAAGGCGGCCCUCCUGGCUCGAUACUGACGCUGGAGGUGACGAAAGCGUGGGGAUCAAACAGG
rnacentral:rRNA from 1 species